AGUGAACGCUGGCGGUAGGCCUGACACAUGCAAGUCGAACGGCAGCACAGUAAGAGCUUGCUCUUACGGGUGGCGAGUGGCGGACGGGUGAGGAAUACAUCGGAAUCUACUUUUUCGUGGGGGAUAACGUAGGGAAACUUACGCUAAUACCGCAUACGACCUACGGGUGAAAGCAGGGGAUCUUCGGACCUUGCGCGAUUGAAUGAGCCGAUGUCGGAUUAGCUAGUUGGCGGGGUAAAGGCCCACCAAGGCGACGAUCCGUAGCUGGUCUGAGAGGAUGAUCAGCCACACUGGAACGGAGACACGGUCCAGACUCCUAGGGGAGGCAGCAGUGGGGAAUAUUGGAGAAUGGGCGCAAGCCUGAUCCAGCCAUACAGCGUGGGUGAAGAAGGCCUUCGGGUUGUAAAGCCCUUUUGUUGGGAAAGAAAAGCAGCAGGUUAAUACCCCGCUGUUCUGACGGUACCCAAAGAAUAAGCACCGGCUAACUUCGUG
rnacentral:rRNA from 1 species